AGUGAACGCUGGCGGUAGGCCUAACACAUGCAAGUCGAACGGCAGCACAGGAGAGCUUGCUCUCUGGGUGGCGAGUGGCGGACGGGUGAGGAACACAUCGGCAUCUACUUUUUCGUGGGGGAUAACGUAGGGAAACUUACGCUAAUACCGCAUACGACCUACCGGUGAAAGCAGGGGAGCGUCGGACCUUGCGCGAUUGAAUGAGCCGAUGUCGGAUUAACUAGGUGGCGGGGUAAAGGCCCACCAAGGCGACGAUCCGUAGCUGGUCUGCGAGGAUGAUCAGCCACACUGGAACUGAGACACGGUCCAGACGCCUACGGGAGGCAGCAGUGGGGAAUAUUGGACAAUGGGCGCAAGCCUGAUCCAGCCAUACCGCGUGGGUGAAGAAGGCCUUCGGGUUGUAAAGCCCUUUUGUUGGGAAAGAAAUCCAGCUGGUUAAUACCCGGUUGGGAUGACGGUACCCAAAGAAUAAGCACCGGCUAACUUCGUGCCAGCCGCCGCAGUAA
rnacentral:rRNA from 1 species